rnacentral:rRNA from 1 species
UACGGGGGGUGCGAGCGUUGUCCGGAAUCACUGGGCGUAAAGGGCGCGUAGGUGGCUUUGUAAGUUUGCGGUGAAAGCCCGGGGCUCAACCCCGGGUCUGCCGUGGAUACUGCAAGGCUUGAGUACUGUAGAGGCAGGUAGAAUAUCGGGUGUAGCGGUGGAAUGCGUAGAGAUCCGAUAGAAGACCGGUGGCGAAGGCGGCCUGCUGGGCAGUAACUGACGCUGAGGAGCGAAAGCGUGGGGAGCGAACAGG